CGUCAGGAUAGUUCGUGAUGGCGGGGGCUGGUUCCGCCGCUGUGUCGGGGGCAGGGACCCCGGUGGCGGGGCCCACAGGCCGCGACCUCUUCGCCGAAGGAUUGCUGGAGUUCCUGCGACCCGCUGUGCAGCAGCUCGACUCUCACGUGCACGCCGUCAGGUGUCCGAGAGGGAAGUUGGGGGCGGGGCCUGUCUCUCUGGCUUUGUAGGGGCGGGGCCAAGAAAGUGUUCUGGCUGGGAGUGGGCAUAAAUUUAGGAAACUGAUUCGAGGCGGGGAGGACAGGCGGAAGGCCGCAGGUGGAGGGUUCGGCGGAGGCCGGCUUCUCUCAGUACUUGGUAAAUACGUAGGGGAGUUCGUUUCCUGAGCUCCAGUAGCUGCCUGACCUUGUAGGCCUUGUACCUCUUUGCAGAGAGAGCCAGGUAGAGCUCCGGGAACAAAUUGACAACCUAGCCACAGGUGAGUGAGCAUCCCUGUGUACCCGGAAUCCUUCAGCCCACUUUCAGGACCUUAGGUUUUUGCCAACCCCUGGGCUGAAUUUCUGUCACUUGUUUCCAGGGCAUCAGGGCUGCCAAAGGACUCCUCCUUUCAGGGAUGUCUUAAAUCUCUAAUGGCUGUGGCCCGUUUGGGUGCAAGUGUUUUCCAUCCCAUUACCAGCCUGCUUUCCCUCAGAACAACAGAUGAACCGUUAGCUCUUAGCUGCACCUUACUUCCAUCCCCAGAACUGUGCCGCAUAAAUGAGGAUCAGAAGGUGGCCCUGGAUCUUGACCCCUAUGUUAAGAAACUACUUAAUGCCCGGCGACGCGUUGUCUUGGUUAACAACAUUCUACAAAAUGCUCAGGAACGACUGAGGCGGCUAAACCACAGUGUUGCCAAGGAAACAGCCCGCAGGAGAGCAAUGCUGGAUUCGGGAAUUUACCCCCCUGGCUCCCCAAGCAAAUAACAGAUGAGCCUAUGGACUCAAUAGCACAAGUACUGUUUCCCAGCUGCCUUGUUUCAACAGACAUGCAAAGAUCCUAGGAGAUAGUCCCCGUAGACCUUCAGACACUAAAAAGGGAGCCGUACAGUUUGUUUGAAGCACUUCGUCUUACCCAUUUAUGUAGGGGCCCCAGGAAACCUACACACAGCCUGAAUGAGGUUCCCAAGGACUUACAUUAAUUAUGGCUCUUGCUUCCUUCCACAAAUGAGCUGAGGCCUCUACUUUU
rnacentral:sRNA from 1 species